GACAGAGGGUGCGAACGUUGCUCGGAAUUACUGGGCGUAAAGCGCGUGUAGGCGGACUAGUAAGUCGGACGUGAAAUCCCUGGGCUCAACCCAGGAACUGCAUCCGAAACUAUUAGUCUGGAGUGGUGGAGAGGAAAGCAGAAUUCCUGGUGUAGAGGUGAAAUUCGUAGAUAUCAGGAGGAACACCGGUGGCGAAGGCGGCUUUCUGGACACUAACUGACGCUGAG
rnacentral:rRNA from 1 species